GAUACAGUUGGUGGGAGAUGCGUGCCACUGUCUGCAGCAGCUCUUUAUCCCGGCUUUCCUUAGCAAUCAGCAGCAGCUAGAUAGCUCAUUCACGAUCUCCCAGACUGUCUUCCCGGAGCUAAGCUUGACUGCUGCCAGGGGCGGAUUGGGAUGGAACACCAGCUGAGAAAACCUCCAACAAUCUGCAGACUCUCAUUGGAACCCCCAGGUGACUGAAUGCUGCUGGCAUUUGUAACCAUGAAAUGCUCAACAGUUAUUAGCAUCUCUACGUCUGACAUAGAGGAGGGAAUGUGAAGUAUUUUAUGAUCCUUGUUUCCUUCAAGCAGAGUGUAAAAUCCAAAUGACAAGGCAUCUAAACCAAACACAGAAAGGUGUACAUUCGACCUGUUGGAGUUAACAGAGUCACCAUAGACAGAACAUUUACUAUAGGAAUCCAUAAAACAUCCGGCUUCCUUGGGUAUGAAAAAAGAUGGUGAUGGACCAGCAUGAUGGAGGAAUGUCACUUUCACUUCAUUGAUGUUUUGAAUCUUUCUCCAGAAUAAACACAAUUGUACCUCCUGGUAUGAAACCUGAAUUUCAUUGGAUCAUCUGCCAACAUCCUUGCCUUCUUCAGUUUGUCGCAAACCCAGUUUAUGUGAGGUCUGUUUUGAGGCCACAGACCACUGUGUCCAAGUGUUGUGAUCAAUUGCUGGAGACUGACGUAUUCAACUGGGAUUUUGUUAGCGACCAUAAAGUCUAC